UACGAACUGUGCAAACGUUAUUCGGAAUCACUGGGCUUAAAGGGUGCGUAGGCGGCUUGCUAAGUAGGGUGUGAAAUCCCCCGGCUCAACCGGGGAACUGCGCCCUAAACUGGCGAGCUGGAGUGAGAUAGGGGUGUGUGGAACUUCCAGUGGAGCGGUGAAAUGUGUUGAUAUUGGAAGGAACACCGGUGGCGAAAGCGACACACUGGGUCUCAACUGACGCUGAGGCACGAAAGCCAGGGGAGCAAACGGG
rnacentral:rRNA from 1 species